AUUGAACGCUGGCGGCAGGCCUAACACAUGCAAGUCGAACGGUAACAGGAAGCAGCUUGCUGCUUUGCUGACGAGUGGCGGACGGGUGAGUAAUGUCUGGGAAACUGCCUGAUGGAGGGGGAUAACUACUGGAAACGGUAGCUAAUACCGCAUAACGUCGCAAGCCCAAAGAGGGGGACCUUCGGGCCUCUUGCCAUCGUAUGUGCCCAGAUGGGAUUAGCUAGUAGGUGGGGUAACGGCUCACCUAGGCGACGAUCCCUAGCUGGUCUGAGAGGAUGACCAGCCACACUGGAACUGAGACACGGUCCAGACUCCUACGGGAGGCAGCAGUGGGGAAUAUUGCACAAUGGGCGCAAGCCUGAUGCAGCCAUGCCGCGUGUAUGAAGAAGGCCUUCGGGUUGUAAAGUACUUUCAGCGGGGAGGAAGGGAGUAAAGUUAAUACCUUUGCUCAUUGACGUUACCCGCAGAAGAAGCACCGGCUAACUCCGUG
rnacentral:rRNA from 1 species